UACGAAGGGGGCUAGCGUUGUUCGGAUUUACUGGGCGUAAAGCGCACGUAGGCGGAUUGUUAAGUCAGGGGUGAAAUCCUGGAGCUCAACUCCAGAACUGCCUUCGAAACUGGCGAUCUUGAGUCCGGGAGAGGUGAGUGGAACUGCGAGUGUAGAGGUGAAAUUCGUAGAUAUUCGCAAGAACACCAGUGGCGAAGGCGGCUCACUGGCCCGGUACUGACGCUGAGGUGCGAAAGCGUGGGGAGCAAACAGG
rnacentral:rRNA from 1 species